UACGAAGGGGGCUAGCGUUGCUCGGAAUUACUGGGCGUAAAGCGCACGUAGGCGGACUCUUAAGUCGGUGGUGAAAUCCUGGAGCUCAACUCCAGAACUGCCUUCGAUACUGGGAGUCUCGAGUCCGAGAGAGGUGAGUGGAACUGCGAGUGUAGAGGUGAAAUUCGUAGAUAUUCGCAAGAACACCAGUGGCGAAGGCGGCUCACUGGCUCGGUACUGACGCUGAGGUGCGAAAGCGUGGGGAGCAAACAGG
rnacentral:rRNA from 1 species